rnacentral:rRNA from 1 species
UUUGGAUCAUGGCUCAAAACGAACGCUGGCGGCAGGCCUCCCUCUUGCAAGUCGAACGCCCUAGCAAUAGGGAGGGGCGCACGGGUGAGUAACGCGGGGGAACAUGCCCUCCGGUACGGAACAACCCAGGGAAACUUGGGCUAAUACCGUAUGAGCUCUAGCGAGGAAAGAUUUAUCGCCGGAGGAUUGGCCCGCGUCCAAUUAGCUAGUUGGUGAGGUAACGGCUCACCAAGGCAUCGAUCGGUAGCUGGUCUGAGAGGAUGAUCAGCCACACUGGGACUGAAACACGGCCCAAACUCCUACGGGAGGCAGCAGGGGGGAAUAUUGGACAAUGGGGGCAACCCUGAUCCAGCCAUGCCGCGUGAGUGACAAAGGCCUUAGGGUUGUAAAGCUCUUUCGUCGGGAAAGAUAAUGACGGUACCCAAAAAAAAAGCCUCGGCUAACUCCGUG